rnacentral:rRNA from 1 species
UACGUAGGGUGCAAGCGUUGUCCGGAAUUAUUGGGCGUAAAGAGCUCGUAGGCGGUCUGUCGCGUCGGCUGUGAAAACUUGGGGCUCAACCCCAAGCCUGCAGUCGAUACGGGCAGACUAGAGUGCGGUAGGGGAGACUGGAAUUCCUGGUGUAGCGGUGAAAUGCGCAGAUAUCAGGAGGAACACCGAUGGCGGAGGCAGGUCUCUGGGCCGAUACUGACGCUGAGGAGCGAAAGCGUGGGGAGCGAACAGG